rnacentral:tRNA from 1 species
UGAAUCAGUUGACUAUAAACCCUAGCCUUCCAAGCUAGCGAUGCGGGCUCGAUUCCCGCUAGUUCAA